rnacentral:pre_miRNA from 1 species
UAGCUCUUGCUGGAGAAGCAGGGCACGUGCAAGUUCUUAGAAUUCGAAUAGAUAUAUGCAUUUGCCAUGCAUGAAUUUUGCACGUGUUCUCCUUCUCCAACAUGAGUUU